AGUGUACCGAACAAACGAUUUAAUGUGUUUGUUUAGGAUUGCUUUCUAGUUAUCUUUAUAACUUCUGGUCUCUCUGCGCAUGAGGGAGAGCGAGGAUAGGAUGGUGUUUCUUGCUGCUAAAUUGCAGGGGAAGUUAUUCAGACCUUUUGGGUGUUGGGUCUAGUCCAUAAAAUCUGCAACAAAUUUUAUUCUUUGGGAAAGACAAACCCAAGUUCUGCGUCUGAGAUAGGUGUGACUCAGUGAUGGUUGCCUCUCCUGUAGCACCAGCUUGCGUCUUUGAAGCGGAAAGCUGGCCCUGUGGUGGUGCUCUGAGGGAAAUUGGUACGGUGGGAACCUGACGCUUCACCAAUAGGGUGUUCCUCUGCAGCUCUGCCUGAGCAGCUCCCCAUAGCGGUCGGGUCCUGGGCUCGAAAAUCGUAUUUCCUAAUGCAUGUGAAAUGCGUGCGGAACCAAGUGGGCCCAGCAGUGAAACAAAGUUCCUGACGUGUCUCCUGCCAAUUUUUACGUCUGUCAUCUCUCUUACUUGCUUGUUCUUGGGGUAUUUCUCCAAAGGCCUUCGGAGGCAGGUUGGUUCUUCAGUGUUGGGGCAGGUGAGACCUGAGGGAGCAUGUGGGGGUUUGCAGGAGAUAUCCGUGAGGUGGUUGAGCAGCAGCUGCAGUAACGGGGUCGCUGUGUGACUGACUGCUGGAGACCUUUCCAGCUGUGCUGGCAGGGGAGGCGGUGGCAACAGGGUUGUUGAGGAAGCGAUGGAAAUCCGUGCUCGUGCUGUUCUCUUCAGUUUGUUUUCUCAGUCUUCAGCAUGUGUUCAUACAUAUUGCUUCUCCUGGAGGACGUUGUCUCCUUUCUGGCUGGCAGGAGAAAUCUCUUGGGUGCUCAGUAGGCAUGUUGACUGACAGAUGCAAAGAGCUCCUUAAUUCUGGGGUGCACAAAGGGCAGCUGAUGAUAAAGGCCCUUGUGUAAGAGGCUUAUUCCUCAGGGCAGAGAGAGGGCAGGGAGUGGAGGAAGGGAUUGCAGAGAACUGGGCAGCGAGCGGUGGUGGGGGGAGCUUGGGUGGCUGCAGCUGUAUAUCCCAAUUGGUCUGGGGGAAAAUAAUCUCUUAUGUUCCUUCGAUUCAGUUUUAAGCAUUCAUUAAAAUUCUUGUCCCCAGCCUCAAGCAGGAGUGAGAUACGGUAGUGGUACAGCAUGGUCCAAGCAGUCCAUAGCUGCUGGAAUUUGGGAGGGAGGCCCUGCGCGUGGAUUUGGAGGAGACCAAUAUAUAACACUGCCACACAGUCAGAAGUGCCUUCCUUUGAUCUCCACUGCUGGGACAAACUAGGGAAGCACUGCAAGCCCUUGCUUGUACUUAAUCCUCUUACAGAUAUUUCUCCACGCUGGGGAAGGUGAAUUGGUUCCUUUUUCUACUAUGAAGGAAAAAUCACCGGACAAAUCGCCUAUGUGGGAGGGCAAAAUUACCCCCUACCUAAAGUAUGAUAUUUUAUGUGCUCCCUUUGCUGUAUGAAGAAGUAAUGCACAUUUGCAAAUUGGAAAAAAAUCUGUUCCUUGUAAAGAAGUGAUCCUGUACAAGUCCAGGUCCCGAGAACUUGAGGAAUGGCUUCUUUGAAGCCUGCCCACACAGGACGCAUCUCUCUGUUUCCCAUAGGACUUGCCUACCCGUGGAGCUGGCCAGAUUGACUCCAUGUGCAGACAUUUAGUCUGGAAUAAAUCAGGAUUGACUCUUUAUGUACCAGCAAA